GGUUACUCUCUGAGGGAGGGAGGGACUUGCUACAGAGACAGUUUGAGAUGGAAGUAUUCUCCCUUGUAUGGAUUCUAAGCUUUGUUAAUUCCCUUUAUUUUGUUUGGACUACCUCAGCAGGGGAAAGCCCUAGGACUGAUCUGGCCUAGGAAGGUGGGCCAUAUCACAGAAGGUGACAGUUAUGUCCCAAGAGAAAAAGAGAGCUACCAUGCUAUACAUAGCCUCCAGAAGGUGCCUUGUGGUUAGGAAAUUCAGAAGUGAACUUGAACCCCUGAUUUACUGCAGAUCAUUGCAGCAUGGUUCUUCUGAGCAAGAAAUGAGGAGUUCUUCCUUCACCCUCCACUGGACAGAGAGAUGAACUGCUUUGGGGGUCCUACAUCUGAUUCCAGAAUAAUUAAUUUCUAGUGAUUUACAAACCCUGGAGAGGGGAACUGUUACAAAAAGCAUUUCUACUUCCCAUAUGUGUGUGGAUCUGCAGCUGAAUGUCUGAUCACAUUAUGCUGAUGUGAAACUACUGUGCCUUGGCAGAGAAACACACACAAUACCUUCCUCUUUCCUUGGCAGUGUUGCAUUAAGGAGGCAUGUGUAUGUCUUAAAUAAGAUGGUCUAAUUUUGGAGAUUUUAUCUAUAUAAUAAAAGUCUAGGAUUGUCGCUGUGUGUCACUCUGAAGCUUAGAAUGUCUGAGUCAGUGUGAAGUGAUGAAAACAGCUAUAAUCAUAGUCGAGUUUUCUUUUCUUUGAACAUGGUGAUAGUCUAAUCAUCACUGGGAUUUGCAGCCUGUUACAGUCCACUUUUUAUGUUAUCAGACACAGUGCAAUGUACAAUACAGAAAGCCAUGACAAGAGUCUUAGACCAUUGUGAUAUCAGAUGUAACUCACUCAAUCACCGCCCUUCCUCUGCAUCUAAUUUGCAUGCAAGGGUUACAGUGGUGGGUUACUUGGCCCAGCUGCAGACCUGUGGGACAGCAUGGGCUUUCAGCUACUAGGGGACUCAUAAUGACUAGGACUCCUAAUAACUGAGGUUUAUAGACAACUUCUGCAAUCAAUUAAAACUUUUUUUUCUAGAGUCACAGGGAAUAUGGCUAUAAAUACUACUCAAUAAGACAAGUUCUAUGACGUCCCUUUUAAACAAGAUUCUCUGAGGCAUAUGUUCAGUGGUGUUGCACCAUUUUUUGUGCAGUUUAACACUUCAGCCAAGCACUGUAACCAUUGUCUGGCAUUAUCCCAGUGCAACAGUGCUCUUUACUGUUGAAUUGUUUAAUUGAACACCUGUGGAUACAAAAGCCAAACCAAAUAUUUAUUUGCUUGGGUUUUCUUUCCCCUGUUUGGAACAUAUGAGGUGGUAAACAUUUAGCACUGAAUUUGGUGUGAUGUAAGUGACACUGGGUGCAAUCUAGUAGUCCUUAUGAAAGUAAACUCCUUUUGACGUCUAUGUGAGAAAUGCUGGAGUAGGACCUUAAUUUUUAGAGUUGCAGUAGAUAAAUUGUGUGGCUUAUUUAUCCUUUCAUUUAUAAACAAUUAAGGAUCUAUUUUUAAUAGACUAAGCUUAUCUUAAUAUAUUAAUCAAAUUACAACAGAAAAACCCUGGACAUUAAAGGGGUGCUUUAUUAUUAUUAUUUUUUAAAAGCAACACUUUUUCUUUGCCUUCAGGCAAAAGAAUAAUGUAGUAAUAAGUGAACCUGUUUUCAUCUUGAUUAUUUUCAUCUAAUUAGAACAUUUCCUAUAACUUCAGUCAUUUUGGAAUCUGUUCUGUCCCUGAUGAAUGAGAGUAACUUCCAUUAAUGUUAAUGUGAGUUGUACAUGCACGUUGCAGGGAGAAUUAAACUCCUGUAUGGUCUAAUUACCUUUUAUUGUCCUGCAUGCUGAUUUGUUGGAAGCAGUUUAAAGAAGCUUUUAAAAUGCCUGGCAUACAGGAGGCUCAUUUUAGACAUUUAGGAGGUUGGAGGUGGAAGAUUUACACUGAAGUACUGUAUGUUCGUCUUUGCACAUUUGCUCAAAAAAGGGGAAAAUAUAAACAAGUUACAUGUAUCUAUCAGAUAUUAUGGAAUCAUUUUAUAAACAGAAUAGAUCACUCUGAAGUGUUUAUACUUAUGCUGAAUUCCUCAAGGUAUGAUGUUAUAAGUAACAACCAGCCUCGGGAGACUGAAUGCAAUCAGUUUUACAAGCGUACAUCUUGUGGAGUGCUUAAGUAAACCACAUGUGUUGAACAAUGUUUGUUUUGCAGAUGUUCAUUUAGUAUCUGUGUAUUCAUACUGUUUCAGGUUCCCCAUCUUUACUUAUCCAUGCUAAUGAAAUUUUGGCAGCAGCUAUGACUGCCAUAUCAUGUGGAUCUUUGCUUGUUAAAUGUAAGUGUCUCAUGUCUGCAAGCAUUAAAAAAAUUAAACCCGUAACUUCAAGAGCAAUUAAUAGGAGUGCCUCAGUCUGAUAUGUCUUUCUUGCUAUGUACCAACUGGAAAUAUGCUAUUGUGAGCAGAUAUUGUUCCCAAACUGCUCUGAUAUAGUCCACAUACUGUGCAGAAUCCAAAUUCAUCCUCUUCUUGGGGUUUGACUUAAUAGCUAUGCAACAAUAAGUUCAGCUUAAACAUCUUUCAAGGGUUUGGCAUCUCCCAAGAGACCUUCCUUAGGACAGUUUAGCCUACGUUCUUCGAGUGAUGGCUUUUAUUGCUGUUCUACUGUACAUUUGGCAGUGCCCCCUGCACCUGUGAUCAAAGAUAUUCAUCAGCAGUGCCUGUUGGCCUGCACAUGUGCACCUCCCCCAUCU